rnacentral:misc_RNA from 1 species
CUGGGCGGACUGCUGCGU